UGGGGAAUUUUGCGCAAUGGGGGAAACCCUGACGCAGCAACGCCGCGUGAGUGAUGAAGGCCUUCGGGUCGUAAAGCUCUGUCAGAGGGGAAGAAAUGCAGGGGUGCUAAUAUCAUCUUUGCUUGACGGUACCCUCAAAGGAAGCACCGGCUAACUCCGUGCCAGCAGCCGCGGUAAUACGGAGGGUGCGAGCGUUGUUCGGAAUUAUUGGGCGUAAAGCGCGUGUAGGCGGUUUGAUAAGUCUGAUGUGAAAGCCCCGGGCUCAACCUGGGAAGUGCAUUGGAAACUGUCAGACUUGAAUACGGGAGAGGGUAGUGGAAUUCCUAGUGUAGGAGUGAAAUCCGUAGAUAUUAGGAGGAACACCGGUGGCGAAGGCGGCUACCUGGACCGAUAUUGACGCUGAGACGCGAAAGCGUGGGGAGCAAA
rnacentral:rRNA from 1 species